rnacentral:rRNA from 1 species
GACGAGGGCGCGAGCGUGUCCGGAAUUAUUGGGCGUAAAGAGCUCGUAGGUGGCCUGUCGCGUCGGCUGUGAAAACUCGGGGCUCAACUCCGAGCUUGCAGUCGAUACGGGCAGGCUAGAGUUCGGCAGGGGAGACUGGAAUUCCUGGUGUAGCGGUGAAAUGCGCAGAUAUCAGGAGGAACACCGGUGGCGAAGGCGGGUCUCUGGGCCGAUACUGACACUGAGGAGCGAAAGCGUGGGGAGCGAACAGG